rnacentral:rRNA from 1 species
UACGUAGGGGGCAAGCGUUGUCCGGAUUUAUUGGGCGUAAAGAGCGUGUAGGCGGCCAGACAGGUCAGCUGUGAAAACUCGAGGCUCAACCUCGAGACGUCGGUUGAAACCGUCUGGCUAGAGUCCGGAAGAGGAGAGUGGAAUUCCCGGUGUAGCGGUGAAAUGCGCAGAUAUCGGGAAGAACACCCGUGGCGAAGGCGGCUCACUGGCCCAUUACUGACGCUGAGGCACGAAAGCGUGGGGAGCAAACAGG